CGGGAUUUCACCGUGUUAGCCAGGAUGGUCUCGACCUACUGACCUCGUAAUCCGCCCGCCUCAGCAUCCCAAAGUGCUGGGAUUACAGGCAUGAGCCACCGCUCCCGGCCCGGCAGGCCCCCUAGAAGAUGCCAAUCAAAAUAAACUGCAUUCUUGAGACACAGGGCAAGAAAUUAAAGCUAUCCACCUCCUCAAGGCCCAGGGACUACGUGGAAGAGACAUCGAGUCAUGAAUAUGGAAUGACUUCACCUGACUUCACUUGAAAUUCACUUAAUUUUCAACUCUGUUGGCUAUGAGAUUUCAAGAAGACUGGAUAUUGGAGAGAAUCAUAAUAAAUAAAAGGACAUCCAGGCCUCACACAAAAAUGGAUCAAUGAAUUGAAACUCACCAAAUCACCACCACCAGACAACGGGAUGCUGAGUCUCAUUCAUCAUGAUUGCUUCCUGAAGCCUUCUGAGUUCCUGUUUCCCUACACAUUGUUACAUUUCUUCCCUGCAACAUAAACCCCCAAUUUUAGUCCAUCAAGGUUAUAGAUUUGAGACUGAUCUCCCAUUUCCUUGGCUGCAACACCCAAUUAUAGCCUUCUUGGCAAUAAUUGUUGUCUCAGUGAUUGGCUUUCUUUGUGGCCAGCAGCAGGACCUAGACUGAACACCUGAUUUUCUGGUCUCUCAAAACAGAAUUUUGGCUUUUCCAGAUUGGCAAAUAGCUCUUAGUUAAAUGUGGCUUUCAAGUAUGUGUUUACUCCUUUAUGUUUCAAUUUUCCUUCAAUUUUGGCCUGGAGAGUGUCUCAACUAAGAAGCUAAAAAGGGAAAGAAAAGAAAAGCAGUUAUGUUUUUUUCCCCUCCGGCCUAUACAAACACAUACACACCAAGGCUUUCACACUACUAUGUUUGACAUAUGCUUGCAUAUGUAUGUGUCCUCAUAAAAUAAUGUUGUCCAUUUCAUGUUGAGUGUUUAUGUGUUCUAAUAAACAUAAAAUACAUGGUUCUAUAGAUUUUGUAGCUUUCACAGUUCAUCAAACACUGUCUUUUUGUUACUGUACAUCUUUCUGAUUUAUCGUUUCUAGCUACUGUGUCAUUCCAGGAUAUAAAUCCACAUCUUAUGUUUGCAAGUCAGUUUUAUCUGCCGUUCCUGUGCAUGACACAUUUGGCCAGGGGUGUGUGUUUCUCUACAGCAAAUACUCAACAUCUAACUGCUGCAUUGUAAGGUAGACACAGACUUAAUAUUAUUAAAUACUGUCACACUGUUUUCUAGAUAGGCUAUUACCAUUUAUGUGUCAACCAGCAGUACCUACUUGGAUCUGUUUUCCCAUAUUCUUAAUGAUAAUUUAUAUUAUUUGACUGCUUUUUUGGCCAAAAUUUAAUAUUUUAUGAAAUAUACUUGUGUUAUUAGUCAAUGGUAUUAUACUAUUAACUUGUCUCUUUAUCAUUUAGUUUGCAUUUACGUGGUAGUUUUUUGCCUGUCUUUUAUUUAUAUUCCUGAUUUCCCUGAAAAAGAGAUUUCUUCCUCAUAUACAUUCAAGGUCUCCAUCCUCCUCAUUUGUUAACCUAAGAAAGUAGAGUAAUAAAUUUAGUUACUAAGUUUGGGAAAAAUAGCAGGGAAAAGGGGCUACUCUACUUUUUUAAGACACUUGAACCCAUGAGGGCCAAGCAGAAGGGGAGAAGAAUGGUGAAGGAGAAUUCUUGCCCUAAUCCCACAUUGGACUCUCAGUCUUCAAUCUAUAUUUGUAAUCUUAUCUAUCUCUCCACUGUUUGAGAUCACAGAUUGGGUAGGGAAGAUGAGCAUUAAUAGCUCUAAGUCUUUAGAUACUUUAAUAAUGGGGUUAAAAAUAUUAAGAAACAAAAUUAAAAAGAGUGGAAUUCAGGAGUGCACAGUAUUUACACAGAGAAACUUCCAUGGAGACUGGAGCAUGAUGCUGGGGCUUGGACUUUAUUUUUUGAUAGAUGAUUUAAUUUCUUACAUGGUUUGAGAAGGUUACAUUGGGCUAAAGGGAGGAGGUUCUUAUGUUUGUAAGACUUUUCAGUGCUAGAGUGAGAUUUUAACCUAGCCAUAGGGUAUUUCGAUCUUGGUGGCUUAAUACAGAUCAAAGAAGCUUCAUCCAUAAAUGAUUCUCUUUAUAGUGAGGUAGAAAUACAAGUUAAGGCAUAAUGACCAUAGAAACCUAAACAAAAUGAGGGUUCAUAAAGGCAGGAUUUCAGGAAGCCCACAUACCACAGCUUAUUUUUCAGGCACAGAUUUUCCUACACAUGCUUGGCUAAGGCAAAGCAUUAGUGUACAAAGAAGAAAAGUGUUUACAUGCCCUGUAAGCAUCAGGGGGCACAAUGAUAUUUGAUUCCGUUAAAUUUUGAAACACCUGAAUUUCUUCUGUUGCAGAGCAAAACUGAGUUUUAUUUUUAAUACGUACAUGACAGGCCAAGAAAAUGAAAGGAGGAAAAUGGGCCAUGCAAACUGCUGUUAAAGAGAACAUCAGAUAAAGGGCAGAUGAUUUCAUUAUUAUAUGGAAAACACCCUUAAAGACAGCGAAAAGCUGUACCCUGUGGUUAUAGAAUAUAUGUAUACAUAUGCAAUUUUAAGAUGGAAGAUAGUAUACAAUAAUUAAAGUAAUAUUAAGUGUGGUCAAGGUGUUAGAGUUACUGAAGAUGUAGAUACAUAUACCUUGUUUGGGCUCUGUGAGAUGCUGGAAAAAUUAUAGAAUUAAGCCUCUUAAGCAGAUACAGAUGAAAAUUAUGAAUGGGAUCUCAGGCAAGAUAAUUAUCUAUUAAGUGUAUGCCUGGUUGGACAAAUGGAAAAAAGUAUUUCAUUGGUGGUAUUACCAACUGAGUGAGAAAAAGGUAGAUAGAAUUGAUUUGAAUAAUAGAUGAUUCUAGGAGAAAUAUAAGGAAUUGAUUUCAUAUUACUUAUAAUGAGAGGCACCAACAUAUCAAACCUGGAAGAGAAUGUUAGAAACACAAAUGUCUGAAUCAGAUAGAAAAGAAAAGUAAAAGAAAGAAGUUAUUCAAUUCCAGCAACCAAUUGGAAUUCCUGGGACUCAAACUUCAGAAACAUUUGACUAAACUUCAGCUCAAUAAUCUAUUAAGGACAAUCUUACAGUAGAAAUAAAUGUGAGGAUAAGGAAGACACCGUCCUUGGUUUCACAGAUACAGCAAUUCUGUAGCAAAAAGGCAGAGAAAACAUCAUUGUGGACGCAGGACUCAAAUGUGUUAUCUCAAGAGAUGAUGGAGAAACAUCACCAGAUGGGGCCACCAGAUGAGGCAGAUCGAGUCCCAGAAACAAAUAACAUAAGAGGAAAUGGAUAUGAUGAGGUUCUGAUACGAAACGACAGAAAAUCCCCUCAACAAGGAACUGGUGAUACUAAUUUUUAAAUUUUCCUUGAUGUCAGCAUGUCUCUAAACACAACUCUUUGGGAAAGAACAUAAUUUGUUUAGACAGAUUUUUUUUCCCAUACAGGUAGUAAAUGCAUAGUGAAAAAAAAAGGUCAGAGGGCCGGGCGCAGUGGCUCACGCCUGUAAUCCCAGCGCUUUGGGAGGCCGAAGCGGGCAGAUCACGAGGUCAGGAGAUCGAGACCAUCCCAGCUAACACGGUGAAACCCCCGUCUCCACUAAAAACACAAAAAAUUAGCUGGGCGAGAUGGCGGGCGCCUGUAUUCCCAGCUACUGGGGAGGCUGAGGCAGGAGAAUGGCGUAAACCCGGGAGGCGGAGCUUGCAGUGAGCCGGGAUGCGGCCACUGCACUCCAGCCUGGGUGACAGAGCGAGACUCCGUCUCAAAAAAAAAAAAAAGAAAAAUAAAAAAAUGGUUAGAGAUAUCUUGUCAGAGGUUUUAUUUCCUUUUCUAUUUGGGCUUAAUUUCACAGGUCAUGAAUAAUGGACUAUU
rnacentral:lncRNA from 10 species